AGACCGUGAUGUGGGCAUUUCCUUAAUAGCUUCUUGAAUCUUUCCCAUGUCUCGUACAAUGAUUCUCCAUCUUUUUGCGAGUAAGUGUUAAUUUCGGUCAUGAGUUU
rfam:Helianthus annuus linkage group 8, whole genome shotgun sequence.